UACGGAGGGUGCAAGCGUUAUCCGGAUUCACUGGGUUUAAAGGGUGCGUAGGCGGGCAGGUAAGUCAGUGGUGAAAUCUCCGGGCUUAACCCGGAAACUGCCAUUGAUACUAUAAGUCUUGAAUAUUGUGGAGGUCAGCGGAAUAUGUCAUGUAGCGGUGAAAUGCUUAGAUAUGACAUAGAACACCAAUUGCGAAGGCAGCUGGCUACGCAUAUAUUGACACUGAGGCACGAAAGCGUGGGGAUCAAACAGG
rnacentral:rRNA from 1 species